ACACAUGCAAGUCGAACGGCAGCGCGGGGCAACCUGGCGGCGAGUGGCGAACGGGUGAGUAAUAUAUCGGAACGUACCCUGGAGUGGGGGAUAACGUAGCGAAAGUUACGCUAAUACCGCAUACGAUCUAAGGAUGAAAGUGGGGGAUCGCAAGACCUCAUGCUCCUGGAGCGGCCGAUAUCUGAUUAGCUAGUUGGUGGGGUAAAGGCCUACCAAGGCAUCGAUCAGUAGCUGGUCUGAGAGGACGACCAGCCACACUGGAACUGAGACACGGUCCAGACUCCUACGGGAGGCAGCAGUGGGGAAUUUUGGACAAUGGGCGAAAGCCUGAUCCAGCAAUGCCGCGUGAGUGAAGAAGGCCUUCGGGUUGUAAAGCUCUUUUGUCAGGGAAGAAACGGUGGNNGCUAAUAUCNNCUGCUAAUGACGGUACCUGAAGAAUAAGCACCGGCUAACUACGUGCCAGCAGCCGCGGUAAUACGUAGGGUGCAAGCGUUAAUCGGAAUUACUGGGCGUAAAGCGUGCGCAGGCGGUUUUGUAAGUCUGUCGUGAAAUCCCCGGGCUCAACCUGGGAAUUGCGAUGGAGACUGC
rnacentral:rRNA from 1 species